rnacentral:rRNA from 1 species
UACGUAGGGAGCGAGCGUUGUCCGGAUUUACUGGGUGUAAAGGGCGUGCAGCCGGGCUUACAAGUCAGAUGUGAAAUCCUGCGGCUUAACCGCAGAACUGCAUUUGAAACUGUAGGUCUUGAGUACUGGAGAGGCAGGCGGAAUUCCUAGUGUAGCGGUGAAAUGCGUAGAUAUUAGGAGGAACACCAGUGGCGAAGGCGGCCUGCUGGACAGCAACUGACGGUGAGGCGCGAAAGCGUGGGGAGCAAACAGG